rnacentral:rRNA from 1 species
GACGAACGCUGGCGGCGUGCUUAACACAUGCAAGUCGAACGGUGAAGCGCCUUCCUUUUUGGUGGGUGUGGAUGAGUGGCGAACGGGUGAGUAACACGUGAGUAACCUGCCCCCUUCUUCUGGAUAACCGCAUGAAAGUGUGGCUAAUACGGGAUAUUCUGGGUCUGUCGCAUGAUGGGUCUGGGAAAGAUAUUGUUUCGGUUGGGGAUGGGCUCGCGGCCUAUCGGCUUGUUGGUGGGGUGAUGGCCUACCAAGGCGGUGACGGGUAGCCGGCCUGGGGGGGUGGACGGUCACACUGGGAGUGAGACACGGACAAGACUCCUACGGGAGGCAGCAGGGGGGAAUAUUGCACAAUGGGAGCAAGCCUGAUGCAGCGACGCCGCGUGAGGGAUGGAGGCCUUCGGGUUGUGAACCUCUUUCGCCAGUGAAGCAGGCCUGCCUCGUUUGUGGGUGGGUUGACGGUAGCUGGAGAAGAAGCGCCGGCUAACUACGUG